UUGCAAGCGUACUCGGUCUCGUCCACGUCGUUGUAGCAGUCGCUCUUAUAAUCGACGGGUAUCGGUUUGCCCUCGAACUGGCAAAGUUUGGACAACGGUUUCGCGUUAACGAUCAUCUUCUUGAAGCCCGUCGGCUUCUGUUGCGGACAGUAGAACACGUCUGGCGUGUUCUUGUCGAAAACGAUGCUCUUACGCAUCAUGUCGCCGGCCUCCGUCGUCGCGACGAAGAGCAUCUGAUGAAAGAAACCACGGAUUGAAACCGUCCCGAUGGGAACUGUUCGAAACUGUUAUGCAUCGGCUCUGACUGGCACGGUUGUGGUGAACCGAAAUAAAGUCACAGUUUUCAACCUCUGAAAGUGGUGGCUCUGAUCAAGGAAAAGCACGCGGUAAACCCAUCGAUCGAAUUACCUCCGAUCACGAAUGAAGAAUCGAUAGAGAAACGCAGAGAACACGACACAAGAAUCGUCUGACACUGGAACUACCGGAGAGGUCGAAAUGAUUCUGAUUCCUUUUUACAAUCGUUACGAAGAUAACAUAAUCCUCGGAGAAAUGACUUGACUUCGCGAAACUGAAUUGCAGAUCAGAAAUUUCAAUGGUACCGACGGAGUUUCUAUGGAACAAUUACGAAAAGUCAAGUAGACAUUGAUUUCGCGAAGCUGAAUUGUAGAUCAGAAAUUUCAAUGGUACUGACGGAGUUUCUAUGGAGCAAUUACGAAAAGUCAAUUUGACGUUCGGUAGUUGUAGUGUUAAGAUCGUUUGACUGCCACGGUCACUGCUGGAGCUUUCAAAUGGCAAGAAAGUGAUUAUCACUCGAGAUAAUUGAUUUCGAAUAGAAAUUUUCCCUAACGUAAAUAACUAGUUUAUAUCAAAGAAUAAUUCUUGCUUUGUAUCUGCUAUAGAAAGUGACACGCAAAAAGCUUUUUCGUGGCAGUGAACGCGCGAAAGUUCGUUCGAUCGAUUUACGUCAGUUCUGUUGUCACGAAUUUUGAAUUCCGAAAGUUUGAUUGGAAGCGACGCAAGCAGGCCAAGAACGGAUUAAUAAUCAACGAACGAAUGGAAACGAGCUGAGAAACAGCCGCAGGAUCGGUUCCCUUGAACUGAUCUUCGAUUUUAUCUAGCAGCGAGUGGGAGGAUACAGUCAGACAGACAUUAUUUUUAUCCGUCUGAUCUAGCAUCGCUCCCAAGCACCGCUCCACUACGACUUUUGCAAGGACAACGGGCUCGCCGCGGUUCCGCGUGGUGCGUUUGAUCGGGCUGCUCCUGUUUCAAGUAUUAUACAGAUAAUGCUGAACUGAUACCCUUCUGACAUUUCAGUUCACCGUACACGACAUUUGCAUAAACGCCGGUCGUUUCAUUGACAGCGGUGUACGCUUCGCGGAUCGAAACAAAGCUUGCGAUUAAAAAAGAACUUAGGUUCGCGACGAACGUCACUCCGAUUCGCGCGUUAAUCGGAUGCAAUUAAAUAAAUUGUAUUCAAGUGGAAUUUUAAACCGUCGUAAAAAUGCAAUCUUAUUUCUCCCUCGAACCAGAAAUUUCUUUCGGAGAUAGGUCGAAUAGCUAAAACACAUUUGCAUGCUUCAUCAAUAAUUCAUGAGAACGAGCAACCUAUGGGCAAUGUUAAUGCAAAGCACAGUUUCUUCUUCCUUCAUCAAGAUGCUCUUGCAUUUUCUUCUAGGUCAACGUUUAACGAGGCGUGAAAGCAGG